rnacentral:rRNA from 1 species
AAGUUUAUCCUGCUCAAAUCACCUGCGGCGUCCUACCAUCAAUCGACGAAUAGUGACAAUCCAUAGUCAGUGCGACCGGGUAGUAACACGUGACUAACCUGCCCUCGAGUGGGGAAUAACUCCGGGAAACCGGAGCUAAUCCGCAUAACAUCGCAAGAUCAAAGCACAAUGCGCUUGAGGAGGGGGUCCGGCUGAUUAGCUAGUUGGUAGGGUAAUGGCCUCCAGGCUGGUCGGUAUCCGGCCUGAGAGGGCGCACGGACACACUGGAACUGAAACACGGUCCAGACUCCUACGGGAGGCAGCAGUGGGGAAUUUUGCGCAAUGGGGGAAACCCUGACGCAGCAACGCCGCGUGGAGGAUAAGUCCCUUGGGAUGUAAACUCCUUUCGACCCGGACGAU